rnacentral:rRNA from 1 species
GAGUUUGAUCUUGGCUCAGAUUGAACGCUGGCGGCAGGCCUAACACAUGCAAGUCGAACGGUAACAGGAAGCAGCUUGCUGCUUCGCUGACGAGUGGCGGACGGGUGAGUAAUGUCUGGGAAACUGCCUGAUGGAGGGGGAUAACUACUGGAAACGGUAGCUAAUACCGCAUAAUGUCGCAAGACCAAAGAGGGGGACCUUCGGGCCUCUUGCCAUCGGAUGUGCCCAGAUGGGAUUAGCUUGUUGGUGGGGUAACGGCUCACCAAGGCGACGAUCCCUAGCUGGUCUGAGAGGAUGACCAGCCACACUGGAACUGAGACACGGUCCAGACUCCUACGGGAGGCAGCAGUGGGGAAUAUUGCACAAUGGGCGCAAGCCUGAUGCAGCCAUGCCGCGUGUAUGAAGAA